GGCAAGGUUGGUGACUGGUGUCGCCACCGGGCUUCAAACCCGGAUACGGGCAGAUAACACUGUCCGCGGCAGGUUCGAUUCCUGCUCUUGCCGCCA
rnacentral:tRNA from 1 species